rnacentral:rRNA from 1 species
GAUGAACGCUGGCGGCGUGCCUAAUACAUGCAAGUCGAGCGAACAGACGAGGAGCUUGCUCCUCUGACGUUAGCGGCGGACGGGUGAGUAACACGUGGAUAACCUACCUAUAAGACUGGGAUAACUUCGGGAAACCGGAGCUAAUACCGGAUAAUAUAUUGAACCGCAUGGUUCAAUAGUGAAAGACGGUUUUGCUGUCACUUAUAGAUGGAUCCGCGCCGCAUUAGCUAGUUGGUUAGGUAACGGCUUACCAAGGCGACGAUGCGUAGCCGACCUGAGAGGGUGAACGGCCACACUGGAACAGAGACACGGUCCAGACUCCGACGGGAGGCAGCAGUAGGGAAUCUUACGCAAGGGGCGAAAGCCUGACGGAGCAACGCCGCGUGAGUGAUGAAGGUCUGCGGAUCGUAAAACUCUGUUAGUAGGGAAGAACAAAUGUGUAAGUAACUAUGCACGUCUUGACGGUACCUAAUCAGAAAGCCACGGCUAACUACGUG